rnacentral:rRNA from 1 species
UGGGGAAUAUUGGACAAUGGGCGCAAGCCUGAUCCAGCCAUGCCGCGUGAGUGAUGAAGGCCCUAGGGUUGUAAAGCUCUUUUGUGCGGGAAGAUAAUGACGGUACCGCAAGAAUAAGCCCCGGCUAACUUCGUGCCAGCAGCCGCGGUAAUACGAAGGGGGCUAGCGUUGCUCGGAAUCACUGGGCGUAAAGGGUGCGUAGGCGGGUCUUUAAGUCAGGGGUGAAAUCCUGGAGCUCAACUCCAGAACUGCCUUUGUGACUGCAUAGCUGGAGUACGGCAGAGGGGGAUGGAAUUCCGCGUGUAGCAGUGAAAUGCGUAGAUAUGCGGAGGAACACCGAUGGCGAAGGCAAUCCCCUGGGCCUGUACUGACGCUCAUGCACGAAAGCGUGGGGAGCAAACA